CGGGGCGUGGCGCAGCCUGGUAGCGCACCUGCUUUGGGAGCAGGGGGUCGGAGGUUCGAAUCCUCUCGCCCCGA
rnacentral:tRNA from 8 species